CAGUGUAACCCAAGCAAAGUGUGCUUUAGUUUGACAACCCGAAACUAAGUGAGCUACUCCGAGACAGCCUAUUAAUAGGGCAAACCCGUCUCUGUGGCAAAAGAGUGGGAAGAGCUUUGAGUAGAGGUGAUAGACCUACCGAACUUAGUUAUAGCUGGUUGCCUGGGAAUUGGAUAGAAGUUCAGCCUCCCGAAUUCUUUGUUCACUUCAGCAUUACCCCUUCUGAUACCCAGGAGAAGUCGAGAGAGUUAAUCAAAGGGGGUACAGCCCCUUUGAGUCAAGAUACAACUUUUUCAGGAGGGUAAGGAUCAUAGUUUAGAAGGUAAAAUACUUGGGUGG
rnacentral:rRNA from 1 species